AAGGGCNCCACANGAACGCGUGGAGCAUGUGGNUUAAUUNNACCCAACGCGGGAAAUCUUACCGGGUCCGGACACACUGAGGAUUGACAGGCAAUAUCAUAACAUAGCAGAUAUUUAUUUAUCUUGCUUAUGUUAUGUGUUAAAUAUGCUAGUCCUUUCAUGAUUAUGUGAUAGGUGGUGCAUGGCCGUUCUUAGUUCGUGGAGUGAUCUGUCUGCUUAAUUGCGUUUCACUAAGGGCCCAUAAAUAAUAUGUAUGUUGCGGCGCAUUGACCCCUCAACUCUGUUGAGCGCGCGUCUUUGUCGUUUAGCUCAUGCGAUUGGGUCCUGAAAGCAACGAACGUGAACG
rnacentral:rRNA from 1 species